rnacentral:lncRNA from 1 species
AGAAACCCGAGGCCUAACUACCAUCAUUAUAUGAACUGAUAUCAAGAAAACAAAACAGUUAAUAUAAUGAUGGUAGUUAGAACUGAUAUCAAGAAAAAAAAUGCAGUUAGCACAAAACUCAAAUCCUGAAAAGCCUCCUAGAUUAUUGUGACUUAUACGUACUCACAUUAUCGCUCAAAUUACAAUACAUAAAUCUAAUACACAAAAAUUGGGCAACACCAAUGUUCCAGCUGUCCUCUGGAAUAUCUACGUUCGAAUUGGAGAAGUUAUCAUUGCAGAAGCUUCUGUACAUGCCUCCUGCAUAUAACCUGAUCAAGGUUCAAACAGGUGGCAUAUGGAGGCAUGUUCUUUUGACAGGACCAUACGUUUUUGCGUGCCUUGGUUCGGCCUUCAGCAACUCAAGUUCCGUUGUUACCCUGUGAGACAACACCCAGUUGCCCAAAUAAAAUAUUUGAAGCAGACAAAGUCUCUGCAUAAAAAUGAAUGUAGGGUCACUAUUCCAACCAGCCAACGAUUAUAUCAGGUCAAUCUUGCUCCACGCCCUUUGACAAGGCAUUUUCUUCGUCCAUCUUGUACUUGGCCACAUUGGCAUUUACUUCCACUAUGUUCUCAAUAGCCACUUCAGCAGUAGUUUCCACCAUCUUGUCCUUAGCCUCGUCAGCACUUUCUUCCCCCAUCUUGUCUUCUAUAGUCACAUUACCUUCAUCCAUCUUGUUUACUUCCUGCACCAUAUCAUCUUUUGACUCAACAGUAUCUUCCUCUAUCUUGUCAUUGUUCACAGCAUCAGUUGCCUCACCAUUUUCUUUCUCUGUGCCAUCCUUCGCAUUAUCCAAAACAAUAUCACCAUUGCCAGUUUCAGGAGGGGCUGCAUCAGCAUUUGCAUGGGGUGCAUAAUAUUGCAUGGAUUGCAUCUGUUGCAGAGAUAUGGAGGUUGGGUUGUCAGUUUUUUAAUGUGUCAAAUAUAUGCCGCAUAACUAAAUUUUACCAAGCAAAGGCUCUACUAGAGAAUGUAGUACUAAAGUACCUGGCGAAGAUGUUCCAGUCUGAAGUUCACCAAGUGUCCAAUAUCUUCAACAUCAGUAAUAUAAUGAAUAUUUCCAGCUUCUCCCAAAGGUCGCUCUGUAAAUGGAGUGCACUCUUCAAGAUUUAACGCAAGCUUAUCGGGCCUUUGGAGUAGAAGCUGGAAUGUUGGCUGCAGUUCAUAGCAUUGUUCAAACAGAGAACAGCGGCAGAACACAUACAAACCCAAACGAGCACGGGACAUUGCCACAAUAAGCCUUCUGACAUCACGAAGAUGACCCACAAAUCGGGUCCGGACAAGAGACAAUAAAAUAAAAUCAUUUUGUUGACCCUGGAAUUUGUCCACUGUAGUAACCUAAAUAAUACAUAUUGAAGUUUAGUUUCAGCACAAAAUAGCUGCAAAAUGAUCAAAUAUUUGAUUGGAAAAUUCUGGAUUGUUCUAAAUUACCUUGCAAGGUGGCUCAAUAUUCCAUGGCUUGCAUCGUCUGCUGAUAACAUCACGAAUAAGAAGCUUCUGACCAUUGUAAGUGGUUAAUAUUGAAAUCUUAUUGGCAGGGUAUCCAAUCAGACGCAUGUAAAUAUAGACACUAACAAUAUACUCAGCCUCCCCUUCAUUCUGGUAGAACCAAGGAGAAGGAGCAGACUCGCCUCUGCCACGAUAAUCAGGAACAUCAACCAGCUGAUACUCGUAAGAGAACCCAGAAUUAGCUUUAUGGAAUAUAGCUUCCUCAUGUACAUAAGGCAGAUCUCCCAGUUCUCUGUAUCUCCAAUUAUAAAGCUGAGCAAUACUAGGUCUGGCACGACCCUGAGCAUUGAGUUCAAUAUAAGGGACACCAAGGCGAACAAACCUUGUGAAGAGACUCUGGUCCAUGUGGCUGUACUUCUGAAAAGCCAUGUUCUUCACGACAGGGGGUAACUGAUGGUGAUCACCAAUUAAAAUGCAACGUUUGAGACGAGCAUAGCCAUCUUCCUGCCGUUGCAGGAGAGUUGGUAUAAAAGUCUCUAUCUCCAAUAUCUGUGCACUUUCUUCCAUCAGUAAAUUGUCAUAUUUGAAACCCAAUUGAAGAAAGUCUCUUCUCUUCAAUGCUGCAUGAGUACAAGUCAUGGCAACAAUCUUAGCUUGUUUGGUCAUCAGAUAAUUUGCUCGCUCAGCUGUUGACUUCAGUAACUCAAAAGCCCUGCACUCUUCCAGCUCUUGGAAUAUCGUAGAAAGAUGUUUGAAACAUCCUUUGGCUGCAUGCAUAUCUUUCUCAAAGGACUCACCAGUAAACACAGGCUGUUGGGUAUCCGAAAAGAACUCGGAAAAUGGAAAACGGUCUUUAACAAAAGAGGGAUUCUCCUUAUUUGGCACACAUGCAGCCAAGAAUUGUUCCCAGCGGGCAUAAACAUGUAAUAACCAAAAAUAUGCAGCAUUUUCACAUGUGUAGCUCACAUCUUCAGGAAGAUGAAGGGAUAUUGCCAGUUUUGCAACUUCACCAAGCAGCUCUAGUCGCCGAACCAGCAUAGCAUUUACACGACCUUGACGGCUAAAAUCAAGAUCAGUUGCCAGUUCUUGUUCACCCUGACCAAGACGAAGAAGGUACCUAGCAGGCACAUCCCUCUGAAGAAAGAGUUUACAUCAGACAAUCAGACGAAAAAUAAACAUGCAGCAAAACAAGUACACAGAGCACCCUAUAUGUUUUGAUACGUAUAUUUGAUACAUUCAUCAUCAUGAAGUGUAACUCAAACUCCAGCAGUCAGAACACUUGGAAUAAGUCAAGAAUCAACAGUAGCACAACACUGCAUCGACAUGAGGCAUACAUAAUCGUUUCAUCUAGAAGCCCUCAAGGACCAAGAGAUGAUAUCUAUUCUUCUAUUCAAACUCAGUUGAUACAACAUGUGUUCUAUAGCAAGGUACAAAAUUAGAAUCUUGCACUUCGAAGUGAUGGCUACUCAAGUAAUUUCCAGUCAUACAUUGCAGCACCGAUAGCUAGUAACUCAUGCAUAUUAAAGAACAUCAUUUUCAGAUAAAACAACCACUGAUUCGCACUAUCUCUAAAAAAGUACAGAUAUAUGACAAGAGUUGAGACAAUAUUUGGUGCAGUGGCAAUACCUGCAUUAUCUUCUCGAACAAAUCAUUCAAAGCUUGAUUCGAAUGGGUUAUAAUAAGUGUUCUUUGUGAAGGACAGUUAUGAUAUAGAACAUUUAAUAUCUGCACAGCUGUAUCUGUUUUUCCCGUUCCAGGAGGACCAACAACCAUCGUCAACCCAGGUUGAAUACCAGAUAUUAUAGCGCCGACCUACAAAUCAAAACUUAAAGUCAAAUCAGAUAUUCAUUUAUCUUCAAAGCAGCUGUUGGAGUGUCAUUGGCUGCGCCGCUUUCUGCAACUCGUAGUUACAAAACCUUAUUAAUUUAAGUGAUUCUUGUCGACGGAUCACUAUCCAUCAAACCCCUUCCUGAGAUAUGUUUCACACCCCUCUCCCUCUCCUUCUCCCUCUCCCUCUCUCUGCUGGAGCUGAAUGACUCGCCUUCUCUCUCUCUGUUGUUUCUCACAACAUGCACAAGUACACAAGCUGUUUCUGUGGUUUGCUGCCUCACACAGCCAAAGCCAUCUCUAUUGUUGAUGCACUACAAGCUUACAUUAUUCUACAUAUAGCAUCUUCUUAUAUAGAGGUGUUAGGUCAGUGCUACAGUAGCCAACCUAGACAGCUCAUACCCAACAAGAUCUGGAAACUACAGCUAUUACAGCUCACCUUAUCGAAUCUUCCUCAACUACUAAGUCAGACCAAAAUAUCCUAAAAGGGCUGCUACUACAUGACAUAAGGACUAUCCUAACAUUCUCUCCCUAAUCCUUGUGUAUCUACUCUCUCCCUCAUAAUCUUGUCAUAUGCACUCGCCAAAAUCUUAACGCUUGCCUUGAAUGACACCUUGUCAUGUUGUACUAAGUGGCACGUACUAAAAAUGUUCUCCCCCAAUGACAUAUCUACAAUGUUCAAUUUGUUUCUACGAGGUGCAUGCAUGUGAUAAGGGCUAAAGGCACUGUAUUUCUCACAAGAAAUGCUUUUAAGGUAUCCUGGUAUGUUCUGUCUCAAGGAUAUGCACCACCGACAAUGAUGGUUUAGCUUAAGUAUCAUCCUAUCCUGCAGUAUUCAGAUAAAAAAGUUUUAGUUGAGGACCUAAAAAGUACCUGAGUGGGUGUAAACCUCACUGAGUUCUGGUUAGGUUUAUCUUGAGGAUAUGGCACUGGGUCAGCAGGAAUGUAAGUCUCCACCCUUAGUUUUUCUUUCUGAGACCCUUCAUCAUCAACCAUGUUGUUCUUGCUUGCGGUAUCAGAGGCAUUUACAUUGCCGGGUAGAGCAUGACUUAUUUCCCUCAUUUUCUUGGACAACUUGAUCCUAAAGGGAGGGCUUGGAUGCAUGUUUUCUGUACCAUCAGUAUUGAUGAAUGUGACCUUCAAAUAAUGUUGAGUUAGACCAAAUAGAUAGAAAAGAACAUCCACCUCGAGAUAACUAGAAUUGGAUUACAGUAAUUACCUGGAAAGCUGGAAAGCUUUGCACAACGUGGCUAGCAUCAAGAAAAGUGUCCUUAAAAUCUAUAGUUUCCAGAAGAUCAGGCAUAUUUAUCCACUGUGCGGCAGAAGGAUUUCCGUAACCCAAGAAUAUGUUAUGCAACCAUUCAGGAACUACACAUGUUUCAUUCAUUAGAUCACGUAUGGAUUCUAGGAUUGCUUUGAAAUUAUUUUCCUUGGGUUUCCUUCUCAUUAGAAUAUUAAAUGUCCCAUAAACAUUUUCUGCACCCUUCUCUGCUAACUCAGUAGCAUCAAUGUGAUACUGUGCUGUAUCUAAGGUAAUUUUAACUGUACGAAUCUCACCCUUUGGAGGUUUCCACUCAUCCUUCUUUACCCUUCCUGUAUAGUCAUUCAUGAGUCCCCCUUCCUCAUCACGGAUUUCAAUCACCUCACAACCACGUACAUAUUGCAAUCCUAACCUUUCAGGCACAGUUGAUUUUGCAGCCUCCUCGGGGCUAAGAGGUUCAAAAGAUGGGCGGAUUGACAACAAAAAUAACACAUCAUGCUCUUUCAGAGCAUCCCACUCAGAUUUUAUCUGUGAUCUGUAGCUUGAUAUGCUAAAAGUAACAUCAGCAGUUACAGCAGAAGGCUUAACCUCUCCAAUGUUUGGUUGCUUCACUUGUGUGAUCCUAAAUUCUUUGAUUGGAACAGCCAUCCUGGACCAUCCACGAAAGGAAGUGUCCCCCUCAUUGUUGAUGUAAGCAUGUAAAUGAGGAACAGCUUCCUGAAUAUCUUCACGAAUUUCAUAUGUUGAUUCAAGACGAAAGAGAUUAAAAUUCCUCAGCAAGUAAUCAUGAAGUGUCAGAAAUUGGAGAUUGAGUUUUGGGAGGGCAAGACAGCCUUCUCCAGAAUAAUUGAUGCUAGGAACAAGGCUCUCAUCCCACAUGAUCUGUUCAUUUGGAUAAAGAGGAAGUGCAUUAACUGCAUCUUUCUGGGAUUGACGCUUCUCAAAAAAAGCAACUACGACCUCGAUAAGGAAAUCACGCCUUCCAGUCCAUGGAUCCUUCUCUGAAAUUAUUUUAAGCUGUUUAUAGAAGAUAUUAGUACAUCAAAUGACUGUUUUCCAACUUUGUUCGCGUAACAUGUCCAAGUCUAGCACUGAUAAGCAAUGAGAAAUAAAGGAACUACGGAGUGUUUUUUACUUUUUAAAGCUAAAUAUAUGCAAGCAUCCACAUUUUACUAUGUCAUUUAGUAGUGCAUGCAAACAAGGUAAUGAUUGCUGCCAUGACGAUGACUUCUCUGAUCUACGUGUUCUUUACAUUACGUUUACUUGAUUGCAGUUGCCAUUUAAUCUGUAACGAAUGAUGAGGAACAUGUAUAAAGAUGUUUUGUCCUUUUAUCCGAGCAGUGGUCUUGUAGGUAUGCAUGCAUUCCAUCAGAACUUUCGCGUUAACACUAAACAGCACAACCCAAAAAAUAGACCUUCAGUGACAAAUAGCAAAAGAGGAAAUAUAUCCAGCUUAAAACCAUCUACAGUGCAAGGUGCUUGGAGAGGUGCUUACAAAAAUAGACCGGUUUUUGUUUAAGCACCGGUGCUUAUUUGUAGAGGGCAGAUGCUUAAUUAGGCACCUCUGCUAUAGAAAUAAGCACUUGGUGCUUAAGAAAAAAAAGUCUAUUUUAUUAAGCACCUUGCAUUGUACAUGGUCUAAUGUAUUUGAAGGGAAUAAUGCCCAGAUAAUAUUUACAACUAACAGUCACAAUCUGGUAGUUAUUUUUAAAGAAACAAGAAGCACAGAGAAAUGAAAUGAACAUAUAAAUUGCUCACCUUAUUGCAAACCAGAUCUUGCAGUUCCAUAUCUGACAAGACAAGCAGCUUCUUUGUUAAAUCAGCACGCUUAUGGAUUGAACCAAUAUUACACAAGGCAAGGUCUCGCAACUGCAUCAAUCGACAAAUGAAGAGAAAUUAACUAUUUGCCUUCAGCAAUAACUAACCCACCGGCCACCCCUUCCCAAAAUGGAGUCUUAUGUUUGUCAUAAGUGAAACCUUUUUAUGUUGUGUUAGAACUAAUCUUGCCAUAUACCAAAGAGAUGCAUGCGUGAGACGGAAAAAGUCAAAUUGAGUUGGAUGUUGUGCAAUAGGUGAACUAGCUAUGAGCUGUACCACUGUAGCAAUGUUGGUUAUUGUGGCAGGCCGGUCGCUGUAACCCUGUCCCUACAGCCUCUACAUAACGAGAGUCAUGGGUGAGAGCUAGUAGCAAUUGAGAUAUCUAAUAAAGCUUCCUCCCACUAGUAGUAGCUGUGUGUGUGUGUGUGUGAAGCACAUCUCUUUAGAGAGUCCUGGGUGAGAGCUAGAGAGAAGCUAGUGAUUCUAACAAUUGAGUUAUAAUAUGUUGGACCAAGUGUGUAGAAAAAAAUCAGCAUCUAUAAUACCAAACCAAUACCAAUAGAUACAUCAUGAAAUAUAUUCUCAGUGUAUUUAUUUGGUAUUAUAGAUAUAAAUAUUUAUUUCUACAAACUCGGUCAAACUUUAAAAGUUUGACUUAGGACACAACAAAUAAGUCUUGCAUUUUGGAUGGAGGGAGUAUUAUCAAGGAAAUCAGUGUAAAGAAUUUGUAACAGCAUAAAUAAUAAGGCAGACACCUUAGGCACUUGUUUGAAUGCUAGCAGCUGAAAAGCUUGGAAACGAGAAUAGUGAGCUUGCAAGACAUCAUCAUCACUAAGCUGUGUCCCAGAAUUAUCAUUAAUCUCAAAGCCUUCGUAGAACUGAAGUAAGUCCACCAAUUGUGCAAAAAGACGCCCCUUUUCAUGAGCAUAAAGCAUGCUUAAGUGGCACUUGGCAACGACAGCAACAUCAGCGAUAAGCGGCCUUAGAAAUCUGCAUAUUAAACAACAUUAGUGGAGAACAUAUAUACAUAAUUACAAUAUUACAUACAGAAUACAUUAUACAUGGAAAAUUAAAUUUUGGCUAACACUGUCAGUUGCCAGCAAGGUUUAACAGAACCAAGAUGUUUCACUUUAUGAAUGCAGUUAGAUGUUGCUAGAUAAAGAAAGGACCUUCACAAGAAUGUAAAAGAAAUACAAAUGAGAACAUGUUUAUGUUAUGUGCAUGGUUAAAAAAGGGUGCAACGACCAAGGGGCCACCUGCCCUUGCUUGGCAGGACUUGGAGCUCUUCCCCCAUGCCACGCCUCAAGGCUCCAAGGCGUGGAUGAGAAGAGAGAGAGAGACUAGAGAACUUCUAACUAUUACUCACUCCGUUCCUAAAUAUUUGUCUUUCUAUAGAUUUCAACAAGUGAAUACAUUCAGAGCAAAAUGAGUGAAUCUACACUCUAAAAUAUGUCUACAUACAUCCGUAUGUGGUAGUCCAUUUGAAAUCUGAAAAGACAUAUUUAGGAACAGAGGGAGUAUUUCCUUGUCCAGAUGCACAUGCAUGAAUCUCCCAAUGAAGAGACUUACCAAACAAUCUUGGCAAACCAAGAAAAGCACCUCUUAGUGAGAUCUAAUCAAAUAAGUAAUGCAAUUGUAUCUCGAGUAUGAAACCAAAAGGUGACAGUUCAAUCUUAUCUAAUUAUUAAAACAGCUGAACAGCACUGUAGUCUAUAACAGUUUCAUGGAUAUGAAAAGAGCAAUCACGAAUAGCAAAUCACAAAAUGAUGUCUAGUUGUCGCAAUACAUGGAUAAAGAACAACAGGAAGAUUAACACCAUAGACAAGAGUAAAAUAUCUGGAGUUACAAAUGCUCGUGGUGGAAAGAAUCAUAACAACUUAUGUGUAUGACUUUAUUUCAUAUGCAUGGGGACUUUGAAAUCUGUAUUGUCAAAGGAGAGAGACAGUUAUUCUGAAAUAAAUUACACCUGAGUCUAACUCAAAUGGGACACCGUUUAAAUUUAGUAACUUGAGAGAUGAAAAUCCCUAGGCCUCUAACACAUAGAUUGCACCUUAGUCCUUAACAUAGAUGCUAUGUUUCAUAAGGACCUGCAAGUCUGACCUAAAUCAAUCAGACCAAGUGAAGAAGGAUGUUGAGUUCCCAGGUUCUUUGAUCUAAGUGGAACACACUUGAAGGGCUGAAUAACCUAGAGUGCAAUUUGCUCUCAUAUACUAGUCAAAGAUGCAGCUUGAUGCUACCAGUGACAAAAGUGUAUGCAUACCUUCUCGUAGGAAGCUGGCUCAACAUAUCAAUCAGAAAUUCCAUGAAUCUUUCACAAUACAAGACACUAGAAUCAUCAACCUGCCCACUAAGGGAUUCAUUAAAGACAGAUUCUUCUCCACCAUCUUGACUAGAUAAUAUGACCUUUGAAUCAAGAAUCUACAAAAGUUUCAUGGUGGGGGUUAAGCACAAUCCAUAUAUAGAAACACCAUAUUAGAUUGGAACAGUUUUCAAGGUGUACCUCCAGGAAUUCUUCCAUUAGGUUCCUAAGGAAUUUAUUCUCGAGCAUUUCUGAAGAAUUACCAGUUUUCCCAGCCUUUUUCCCUUCCUUCGCUUCUUUUCUUUUAAUUUUUGUCCACUUCUUAAUCAAUUCAGGAUUAAGGCAAAGCUCCAUCUGUAGAUGUUUGAAACAAUAAGGAACUACGAGAAGCACAAACAAGCUAGUCUGAGGUGAGAAAAACUUUGAAUUACCUGAAGUCGUCCAAAAGAAAGAGUAUGCCACAACUUUAAGCUUACUACCUGGAGUAUAGUCUCCCGGACAAUUUCAUCCUCCAAACUCUGCAGUAAAGCAUGAGUUAAAGGGGCACGGAGAGCAUGCGCAAAUUAAACAACAAACAGUACAUAAAUGAGCAGCCUCCACACAGCCAAUUUUGAAGUCAUUAGAGCAGGGAUUCAUAACCUUAAACAACCAGUGCAUAUAUAACAAUUUGAUAGAAAGUUAUGAAGAAAUACAUGUCAAACAACAUAGCGGCCCACAUUAUGGUAUUUGAAAGAUAAUCCUAAUUUCCCUUCAUUUUCGUAGAGGCAUCUACAUGUGAGCGUGUAGUAAAUACCUGAAAUGCGUUUAUCAUAAACAAGAGGUAGUUUGUCUUCUCUGCCAUACUAACAUUCCUAUCCUGCAGACAACAUAAGGACAAGACGAAAUUCAGAAAAAAUGUGGGAAUAUAUCCAUUUGUUCAUUUGAAAAAACAUGAACAUAAGAUUCAGCAUGGAACUGAAUAGGCGAUAAAACUGUUUGCCUCACAGAAAGCACAAGUAUGGAAAAAAGUAAGUAAACAGAUACAGAGACCAAUCAACCCAUGGUUUACAUUGAGUCUACAAAAAAUCAACACCAAGCAUCAGGAAAAACUUCAGUCCACAAUUAACAGGUGCUCAGGGGACAAACACAUCAUUCCAUACUACUAACUUCUCAUGUUUUGUCAGGAUAUUCCACAUUCCCAAGAACACUGAGAAAAUACAUUCUGGCCAGUGACUACUCACUAAAUCUCAUAAAUCAAACACAAUUCUGGUAGUUGCAGCACACAAAAUGCAAGUUUGGUCCCACUGAGCCUAUGACCACCUCUACUGGUUGCUACCAACCACUGAGCUCGUCCUAACAAAAUCUCGCCCAGAGCAAUCUGCUGAACAUGGACCAAAACCGCCUUUGUUGAAAAAGUUCCAGCAAAAACUACUGAAAGUAGAGACACAAAGAAGAGAAACUAAAUUUCAUUGUUUUGCUAAUUAUGCUUCUCCACCCUACAGAGGCUCUGUUUUACUAGAAAUACAUUCAUAGGCGAAGCAUAGUGAGCAAAUGGACAAGUGCAUCAAAUUUUAUUUAUUUAUUUGAGAGUGACAAGUGCAUCAAAUUGAACACACCUCUUCCUUUAGCUUGAGAACGCGCCAUAGGAAGCCUUUGAACGCGUCCUUCCGGCCAUGGAAGGAUGUCCAUGCCGCCACAUUCUCUCGAAACUGCACACAAAAUCCAAAACCAUGUCAGACCCUACAAAUAGCACAGAGAAAUAAGCUACCAUUGAUUGGUAAAUUCGAGUNNNNNNNNNNNNNNNNNNNNNNNNNNNNNNNNNNNNNNNNNNNNNNNNNNNNNNNNNNNNNNNNNNNNNNNNNNNNNNNNNNNNNNNNNNNNNNNNNNNNNNNNNNNNNNNNNNNNNNNNNNNNNNNNNNNNNNNNNNNNNNNNNNNNNNNNNNNNNNNNNNNNNNNNNNNNNNNNNNNNNNNNNNNNNNNNNNNNNNNNNNNNNNNNNNNNNNNNNNNNNNNNNNNNNNNNNNNNNNNNNNNNNNNNNNNNNNNNNNNNNNNNNNNNNNNNNNNNNNNNNNNNNNNNNNNNNNNNNNNNNNNNNNNNNNNNNNNNNNNNNNNNNNNUGGACAUGACGUGCUCAAAGGACGCGUCAUCUGGAUCGAAGUGUGGCCAAAGGUAGUUCUCGAGGUACUGGCUGACCUCGAGGAUCAUGACACGGUGAAGCGGGACCGUCUUGCGACCGCGGCCCUCCAUACGGAGCUCAGUGGCGUAGAUCUCCCUUACGAGGUCAGCAUCGAAGGCGGCGGCGGCUGCUGGCGAGCCCCAGUGCUCCGCGGCAGCGCGGGUGAGGCGGUCGCGCUGGAUGUCGAGGAGUGUGAUGGAGACGCCAAUGGAGGCGGGGGGCUUGUCAGGUGCCGCUGAGGUGGAGACCUCGGCGGGGAGCGGGUACUCGGCGGCGCGGGGGUGCCGGAACUCGAAGACUCCGGUGCCGUAGACCUUCGGCAUGGCCGCAGUUUGCGAGGUUUAGGGUUUCCGUGACAGGUCGGUGCGGACUGCGGAAGGAGGGUAUGGGUGAGAGAGAGAGAGAUUUGAGAAGGCCAAGGGCAACUCCAACGCGGGGUGGGGUUAGGGCCGGUUCUUUUGCUAGCUUUUUUGGGCUUCCGGAAUAAGCUGCUCCCUAUCCAGCUUAUUCUAAAAGCCCAACCAAAAUUUCCUUUUUAGAAACUUACUAGUCAAGUCUUAACUACUAGGCUUUUAAAAAAAUAAAUUUGGUUGGGCUUUUAGAAUAAGCUGGGUAGGGGGCAGCUUUUUGCAGCUUAUUCUAGAAGCCACCAAAAGAACUGGCCCUUAGAGCAUCUCCCGCUGUUGGCCCCUAAGGGGCGCCUAAAAUCGCCGCCUGGGGUGACCCGGCGAAAAAAUGGGUCUGGGGCGAGUUGGCCCCCAGCCGCCACCCUCAGGGCCGGCCCCAGGCGCUGGAAAAAAAAUUAUGUAACAAAUUUACGCAAAGUUCGGCUAAAAUACGCCAAAUUUCGGCAAAUUUGAGCUUAUAUUCGCGGAUUUAAGUCGAGUAGUCGUCAUUACAUAUAAAAACUAAUAAAAAAACUUGCUGAAGGCCGAGAAGUAGCCAUCGUCGGCCUUCUCCUCCUUGACUCGGGCGCCCCUGCUGGACCCCUCCCCGGCUGGUGGCGGCGGCGGCGCGUCGUCGUCGUCGUCGCUGUCGUCGAUGAUGACGACUCCUCCUUCGUCGCGGCCUCGGCGGCGCUGCUCGAAGCGCCGCAGGGCGGCGCGCUGGCGCUCCGUCGCUAUCUUGAUGGAGUCCUGGCGUGCCCAUUCAAGGGUCGCGUCGUCGUCGAGCUCGACCUUGCCGUGCUCCGUCUUCACCGGCGCCAGCCCCGGCUCCGUCUUUGGCUUGACGAAGCGCGGAGGAGGAGCCGACGAGGAGGCGCGCCGGCCGCCCUUGAUAGAGGCAAAGGUGUCCCGUCUUUCGAUGAGAUGAUGAAUAUCGCUUUGAUGGAAGUCGACUUUGACGAUCCGACUACGAACGUGCGAGGACGUCGCGCCUUAGCAAUCGCUAAACCAACUCCGAGAGGUUAUCGACCACGCCGGAGCACGAUCAACCUGACCACGAGGGUCUGUUUCCUGCGAGCAAACGAAGAACAGGCAAGAAACUGAGAUUGCAAUCUGGAUAUUGCGAAUAUAAGAUGAAAGCUUUAUUGAUCAAGGUGGGGUUCUGUGACGCCUUUGUCUGGUCGCUGAACACAAACGAAGUACGCGAAGUUGCAGCUAUGGCGAACUUUUAAUCUAAACAAAACCCAAAGUCUAAACGACGCCCUAAGGGCUGUAUAUAUGGAGGAAGAGGGGGGAAUUUCGUGGCCCUUGAGGAAGGGGUCCGAAACCAACCCUAUCUCUUGUUUCCCCACACAACAGACUCUAAAAACAGCCUAUACUUAUGUAUUUCGAAAUUACAUGGGCCUGGCCCAAUAAUAAGGUGACGCAGCACCUAGAAUAGCCUCUGGACGAAAGUUAUGAAGUAGCAUCUUGUAUAUUUCGUCCAAGGCUUCAUGCACGCAUUAUGGUGGCUUCAACGUCCUGAAAUCAUCACUUGUAACUCCGUUCUUGUUCCCCAUGCGCAUGCCAUCAUCUCCAUGCUUGUUCUUGCUCCAAUGUUCAUCCUUCUCAAAGCUAGGCCCUUCAUUUGUAAGCAAAACAAAUGUAUCCAAUUUAGGCAGCAUCAUAUUCUCAUGAACAUUAGAAUCAUUAGCAAGAAACGAAAGUACCUGGUAAUUUAAUUGGCGUGCGCGAGCUCUAGUAAUUGGUCCAGUAUGUAUAGCAGCAGGGACUGUGGGUGUAAUAAUUGUAUUGAUGUCCUCAUCAUGACUACCUUGGAUACGACCAAAAAUAUUGCAUACAUGCAUAUUUGUCAGGUGAUUUCUAGUGCAAACUAUUCAAUAAUCUAUUUAUGUUAUCCAGAACAAAAAUACUUCACACACUUUUGUGUUUUGUCUAAUUGCAGGUGUAUGGGACAUUUGUACAAUCCACAUAUGAAGAUAAGGCAAAAGGAGAAGUUUAGGUUCUGUUCAAAAAGUCCUCUCACGUCACUUUUGGGCCAAGAGAAGAUAGAGUCCAAGUCUCUCACGUUCUGGAUUCAGAUUCGGACUGCACAGACAUACCUGACUCAAAACGCCAACAACUUUUUCAUACGGACUCCGAAUUGGGUGAUUCUUUUUUUGUUGGAAACUAGAUUUCGUGCUCUUUCCAACCCAAUUGGAUUCACCUUUAAAUUCGUCCGGAGCAUUGAGUUAUGGUCGAAACAAUCUGACGUUGCACCAGAAUCCGAGUCAAACUACAAGUCCAAAGGUGUUGCAUCACCUCCACUUGGGCCCAUGAGCCUUGUACGACCUAGGGUUGGUUUUAGGCUGCCUUGGGACGUCCUCCCACCUCCUUGGCCGCCACCCCUUGCUCCUAUAUAAGUAGAUCCAUCUAGUAGUUUUUUGCUUGGGUUUUGUUUAGAUUAAAAGUUCGCCAUAGCUGCAACUUCGCGUACUUCGUUUGUGUUCAGCGACCAGACAAAGGCGUCACAGAACCCCACCUUGAUCAAUAAAGCUUUCAUCUUAUAUUCGCAAUAUCCAGAUUGCAAUCUCAGUUUCUUGCCUGUUCUUCGUUUGCUCGCAGGAAACAGACCCUCGUGGUCAGGUUGAUCGUGCUCCGGCGUGGUCGAUAACCUCUCGGAGUUGGUUUAGCGAUUGCUAAGGCGCGACGUCCUCGCACGUUCGUAGUCGGAUCGUCAAAGUCGACUUCCAUCAAAGCGAUAUUCAUCAUCUCAUCGAAAGACGGGACACCUUUGCCUCUAUCAAGUGGUAUCAGAUUUCCAGGUUGUUCGGUGAGAUUUUACAGUUUUUCGUAGUUUAGAUCGAGUCUGUUCUUCAUACCUACAGUCCACGAAAAAGCCACAAAAAAAAAUUUAGGGUUAGUUCAUCAUAUCCGAACCAAUUUGACAGGGCACACAAGUGAUAUUAUUUGUCGUCGUUGUAAGGGAAGAGGACAUUUUGCGAGAGAAUGCAAAUCUCAGCGUGUCAUGAUUGCUACUGAGGAUGGUGGGUAUGAGUCCGCUAGUGACUAUGAUGAGGAGACUUUGGCUCUUAUUACACGUGAAGAACAUGGUGGAGAUGAUUCUGAAAAUGAGACGCAAUACAUGGCUCCUGAAGACGCUGACAGGUAUGAAUGUUUAGUUGCUCAACGUGUUUUGAGUGUGCAGGUCACACAAGCAGAGCAAAAUCAGAGGCAUAAUUUGUUCCAUACAAAGGGAGUUGUGAAGGAACGUUCUGUUCGCGUCAUCAUAGAUGGAGGGAGCUGUAACAACUUGGCUAGCAUGGAGAUGGUGGAGAAGCUAUCUCUCACCACAAGACCACAUCCACAUCCUUACUACAUCCAAUGGUUCAACAACAGGGGCAAGGUUAAGGUAACACGUACUGUUCGUGUGCAUUUUAGUAUCUCUACAUAUGCUGAUUAUGUUGAUUGUGAUGUGGUACCCAUGCAAGCAUGUUCCUUAUUACUAGGUAGACCAUGGCAAUUUGAUAAAAAUUCUGUACACCAUGGUAGAAACAAUCAGUAUACUCUUGUUCAUAAGGAUAAAAAUAUUACUUUGCUUCCUAUGACUCCUGAUUCCAUUUUGAAAGAUGACAUUAAUAGAGCUAAUAAAGCAAAACAGGAGAAAAAUAAGAGUGAAAAUCAGAUUGUGGCAAAGGAAUUUGAGCAACAAAUGAAACCUAAUAAUAAACCAUCUAGUGUUGUUUCUGAAAUUAAAUUGAAAAGUGCAUGUUUACUUGCCACAAAAUCUGAUAUUGAUGAACUAGAUUUCAGCAAAUCUGUUUGCUAUGUUUUUGUGUGCAAAGAGGCAUUAUUUUCAUUCGAGGACGUGCCUUCCUCUUUGCCCCCUGCUGUCACUCACAUUUUGCAGGAGUUCGCUGACGUCUUCCCACAAGACGUGCCACCGGGAUUACCACCUAUUCGAGGGAUUGAGCAUCAAAUUGACUUAAUUCCCGGUGCAUCGCUACCCAACCGUGCACCAUACCGUACCAAUCCAGAGGAGACGAAGGAGAUUAUGCGUCAAGUACAGGAGCUGCUCGACAAAGGUUAUAUACGCGAAUCUCUUAGUCCUUGUGCUGUUCCUAUUAUACUCGUGCCUAAAAAGGAUGGUACGUCGCGUAUGUGUGUUGAUUGUAGAGGCAUUAAUAAUAUUACUAUUCGUUAUCGUCAUCCUAUUCCUAGGCUCGAUGAUAUGCUUGAUGAAUUGAGUGGCUCUACAAUAUUCUCCAAAGUUGAUUUGCGUAGUGGAUACCAUCAAAUUCGUAUGAAAUUGGGAGAUGAAUGGAAAACUGCAUUUAAAACUAUGUUUGGUUUAUAUGAGUGGUUAGUCAUGCCUUUUGGGUUAACUAAUGCACCUAGUACUUUCAUGAGACUAAUGAACGAAGUUUUACGUGCUUUCAUUGGACGAUUUGUGGUGGUCUAUUUUGAUGAUAUACUGAUUUAUAGCAAAUCUUUGGAAGAACAUUUGGAACAUUUACGUGCUGUUUUUAUUGCUCUACGCGAUGCACGUUUGUUUGGUAACCUUGGGAAGUGCACCUUUUGCACCGACCGAGUAUCUUUUCUUGGCUAUGUUGUUACUCCACAGGGAAUUGAAGUUGAUAAAGCCAAGAUUGAAGCUAUUGAGAGUUGGCCGCAGCCCAAAACGGUCACACAAGUGCGGAGUUUUCUUGGACUCGCUGGUUUCUAUAGGCGUUUUGUGAGAGAUUUUAGCACCAUUGCUGCACCUCUCAACGAGCUUACAAAGAAGGAUGUGCCUUUUGUUUGGGGUACCGCACAGGAAGAAGCCUUCACGGUAUUGAAAGAUAAGUUGACACAUGCUCCUUUACUCCAACUUCCUGAUUUUAAUAAGACUUUUGAGCUUGAAUGUGAUGCUAGUGGCAUUGGAUUAGGAGGUGUGUUAUUACAAGAUGGCAAACCUGUUGCAUACUUUUCUGAAAAAUUGAGUGGGCCUAGUCUGAAUUAUUCUACUUAUGAUAAAGAACUAUAUGCUCUUGUUCGGACUUUAGAAACAUGGCAACAUUAUUUAUGGCCCAAAGAAUUUGUUAUACAUUCUGAUCAUGAAUCUUUGAAACAUAUUAAAAGUCAAGCUAAACUGAAUCGUAGACAUGCUAAAUGGGUUGAAUUCAUUGAAACUUUCCCUUAUGUCAUUAAACACAAGAAGGGUAUACUAUGCUUUCACAACUUGACUUCAAAAUAUUUGGUUUGGAGACCAUCAAAGAUCAAUAUGUGCAUGAUGCUGAUUUUAAAGAUGUAUUGCAGAAUUGUAAAGAAGGAAGAACCUGGAACAAGUUUGUCGUUAAUGAUGGAUUUGUGUUCCGUGCUAACAAGCUAUGCAUUCCAGCUAGCUCUCUUCGUCUUUUGUUGUUGCAGGAGGCGCAUGGAGGAGGAUUAAUGGGACACUUUGGCGUGAAGAAGACGGAGGACGUACUUGCUACACAUUUCUUUUGGCCAAAGAUGAGACGGGAUGUUGAGCGUUUUGUUGCUCGCUGCACUACAUGUCAAAAAGCUAAGUCACGACUCAAUCCUCAUGGUUUAUAUAUGCCUUUGCCUGUACCUAGUGUUCCUUGGGAGGAUAUAUCUAUGGACUUUGUUUUAGGUUUACCUCGAACAAAGAAGGGGAGGGAUAGCAUAUUUGUUGUCGUGGAUAGAUUCUCGAAAAUGGCGCACUUUAUACCAUGUCAUAGAAGCGAUGAUGCUGUUAAUGUUGCUGAUUUGUUCUUUCGUGAAAUUAUUCGCUUGCAUGGUGUGCCAAAUACUAUUGUUUCAGAUCGUGAUACUAAAUUUCUUAGCCACUUUUGGAGAUGUUUAUGGGCUAAGUUGGGGACUAAACUGCUUUUUAGUACUACUUGUCACCCCCAAACUGAUGGACAAACUGAAGUAGUCAAUAGAACAUUGUCUACUAUGCUUAGGGCUGUUUUGAAGAAUAAUAAGAAAAUGUGGGAAGAAUGCUUGCCUCAUAUUGAGUUUGCUUAUAAUCGUUCAUUGCAUUCUACUACUAAGAUGUGCCCUUUUGAAAUUGUGUAUGGUUUCCUACCUCGUGCACCUAUUGAUUUGUUGCCUCUUCCAUCUUCGGAGAAGGUUAAUUUUGAUGCUAAACAACGUGCUGAAUUGAUCUUAAAAAUGCAUGAGUUAACUAAGGAAAACAUUGAGCGUAUGAAUGCUAAAUAUAAACUUGCUGGAGAUAAGGGUAGAAAACAUGUUGUGUUUGCACCUGGAGAUCUUGUUUGGUUACAUUUGCGUAAGGAUAGAUUUCCUGAUUUGCGCAAAUCAAAGCUAAUGCCACGUGCUGAUGGUCCUUUUAAGGUGUUAGACAAAAUAAAUGAUAAUGCAUAUAAACUUGAGCUGCCUGCAGAUUUUGGGGUUAGUCCCACUUUUAACAUUGCAGAUUUGAAGCCUUAUUUGGGUGAGGAAGAUGAGCUUCCGUCGAGGACGACUUCAUUUCAAGAAGGGGAGGAACGUUCAUUAGUCUCAUGAAAGUACUAGGUGCAUUAGUUAACCCAAAAGGCAUGACUAACCACUCAUAUAAACCAAACUUAGUUUUAAAUGCUGUUUUCCAUUCAUCUCCCAAUUUCAUACGAAUUUGAUGGUAUCCACUACGCAAAUCAACUUUGGAGAAUAUUGUAGAGCCACUCAAUUCAUCAAGCAUAUCAUCUAGCCUAGGAAUAGGAUGACGAUAACGAAUAGUAAUAUUAUUAAUGCCUCUACAAUCAACACACAUACGCGACGUACCAUCCUUUUUAGGCACGAGUAUAAUAGGAACAGCACAAGGACUAAGAGAUUCGCGUAUAUAACCUUUGUCGAGCAGCUCCUGUACUUGACGCAUAAUCUCCUUCGUCUCCUCUGGAUUGGUACGGUAUGGUGCACGGUUGGGUAGCGAUGCACCGGGAAUUAAGUCAAUUUGAUGCUCAAUCCCUCGAAUAGGUGGUAAUCCCGGUGGCACGUCUUGUGGGAAGACGUCAGCGAACUCCUGCAAAAUGUGAGUGACAGCAGGGGGCAAAGAGGAAGGCACGUCCUCGAAUGAAAAUAAUGCCUCUUUGCACACAAAAGCAUAGCAAACAGAUUUGCUGAA